rnacentral:rRNA from 1 species
GAUGAACGCUGGCGGCGUGCCUAAUACAUGCAAGUCGAGCGAACAGACGCGGAGCUUGCUCCUCUCACGUUAGCGGCGGACGGGUGAGUAACACGUGGAUAACCUACCUAUCAUACUGGGAUAACCUCGGGAAACCGGAGCUAAUACCGGAUAAUAUAUUGAACCGCAUGGUUCAAUAGUGAAAGACGGUUUUGCCGUCACUUAUCGAUGGUUCCCCGCCGCAUUAGCUAGUUGGUAAGGUAACGGCUUACCAAGGCAACCAUGCGUAACCGACCUGAUAGGGUGAUCGGCGACACUGGAGCUGGAACACGGUCCAGACUCCUACGGGAGGCAGCAGUAGGGAAUCUUACGCAAUGGGCGAGAGCCUGACGGAGCAACGCCGCGUGAGUGAUGAAGGUGUUCGGAUCGGAAAGCUCUGUUAUUAGGGAAGAACAAAUGUGUAAGUAACUAUGCACGUCUUGACGGUACCUGAUCAAAAAGCCACGGCUAACUACGUG